rnacentral:rRNA from 1 species
CCUACGGGUGGCAGCAGUGAGGAAUAUUGGUCAAUGGACGCGAGCCUGAACCAGCCAUGUAGCGUGCAGGAUGACUGCCCUACGGGUUGUAAACUUCUUUUAUAAAGGAAUAAAGUGAGGCACGUGUGCCUUUUUGUAUGUACUUUAUGAAUAAGGAUCGGCUAACUCCGUGCCAGCAGCCGCGGUAAUACGGAGGAUCCGAGCGUUAUCCGGAUUUAUUGGGUUUAAAGGGUGCGUAGAUGGGUUGUUAAGUCAGUUGUGAAAGUUUGCGGCUCAACCGUAAAAUUGCAAUUGAUACUGGCAGCCUAGAGUACAGUUGAGGUAGGCGGAAUGCGUGGUGUAGCGGUGAAAUGCUUAGAUAUCACGAAGAACUCCGAUUGCGAAGGCAGCUUACCAAACUGCCACUGACAUUGAGGCUCGAAAGUGUGGGGAUCAAACAGGAUUAGAUACCCUGGUAGUC